CAUUUAUCUACUGCUCUUAGAUCAGUUAUAUUAGUAACGAUGAAGGUUCUUCUAUUCCUUUGUGCUAUAACUUUGGUGGUCACUUUGGCCUCCACGGAAAAUGAUUCAGCGCCCGAUGAGUCCAGACUUCAGUUUUACAAGAAAUUUGAACAACAACAUGGAAUAGACACCCACUGCAAAGGCAACCACACAUUCUACCAAUACGGAGACUGCGAUAUGAGAUGCGAUUUCAUGCCAGAACCUGACUGCUAUGGGGCCAAAUUUAUUUCCUGCCUUGCCUGUAAAAAGGGAUACAUACCUGUUGACAAAAAACGAACCAAAUGCGUGAAGCCUGAAGACUGCCCAUAAACAAAAGGUGUACGAAAGAUAAAGGAUGGAGCAGGAAAUAUGAAUAUCAAAUAUAAAUAUCUGUAAUGAUUUGAAUCUUUUCAUUUCAAAAAUAAAUUUUGAUGCAAAAA